GAUGAACGCUGGCGGCGUGCCUAAUACAUGCAAGUCGAGCGAAUGGAUUAAGAGCUUGCUCUUAUGAAGUUAGCGGCGGACGGGUGAGUAACACGUGGGUAACCUGCCCAUAAGACUGGGAUAACUCCGGGAAACCGGGGCUAAUACCGGAUAACAUUUUGAACCGCAUGGUUCGAAAUUGAAAGGCGGCUUCGGCUGUCACUCAUGGAUGGACCCGCGUCGCAUUAGCUAGUUGGAGAGGUAACGGCUCACCAAGGCAACGAUGCGUAGCCGACCUGAGAGGGUGAUCGGCCACACUGGGACUGAGACACGGCCCAGACUCCUACGGGAGGCAGCAGUAGGGAAUCUUCCGCAAUGGACGAAAGUCUGACGGAGCAACGCUGCGUGAGUGAUGAAGGCUUUCGGGUCGUAAAACUCUGUUGUUAGGGAAGAACAAGUGCUAGUUGAAUAAGCUGGCACCUUGACGGUACCUAACCAGAAAGCCACGGCUAACUACGUGCCAGCCGCCGCCGUAA
rnacentral:rRNA from 1 species